AUUGAACGCUGGCGGCAGGCCUAACCCAUGCAAGUCGAGCGGAGCGGCGGACGGGGGAGGAAUGCCUAGGAAUCUGCCUGGUAGUGGGGGAUAACGUACGGAAACGGGCGAUAAUACGGCAUACUAUCAGAUGAGCCUAGGUCGGAGUAGCUAGUUGGUGGGGGAACGGCCUACCAAGGCGACGAUCCGUAACUGGGCUGAGAUGAUGAUCAGUCACACUGGGACGGAGACACGGUCCAGACUCCUACGGGAGGCAGCAGUGGGGAAUAUUGGACAAUGGGCGAAAGCCUGAUCCAGCCAUUCCGCGUGUGUGAAGAAGGUCUUCGGAUUGUAAAGCACUUUAAGUUGGGAGGCGUUACCUACAGAAUAAGCACCGGCUAACUUCGUGCCAGCAGCCGCGGUAAUAC
rnacentral:rRNA from 1 species